rnacentral:rRNA from 1 species
AUUGAACGCUGGCGGCAGGCCUAACACAUGCAAGUAGAACGAGUGGCGGACGGGUGAGUAAUGUCUGGGAAACUGCCUGAUGGAGGGGGAUAACUACUGGAAACGGUAGCUAAUACCGCAUACCAUCGGAUGUGCACAGAUGGGAUUAGCUAGUAGGUGGGGUAAAGGCUCACCUAGGCGACGAUCCCUAGCUGGUCGGAGCGGAUGACCAGCCACACGGGAACGGAGACACGGUCCAGACCCCUACGGGAGGCAGCAUUGGGGAAUAUUGCACAAUGGGCGAAAGCCUGAUGCAGCCAGGCCGCGUGUAUGAAGAAGGCCUUCGGGUUGUAAAGUACUUUCAGCGGGGAGGCGUUACCCGCAGAAGAAGCACCGGCUAACUCCGUGCCAGCAGCCGCGGUAAUAC